rnacentral:lncRNA from 10 species
GGGAGUGAUUAUUUCAAUCACAAGACAUGAAAUCAGGAUGAUGAACACAUUUGGCAAGAAUCUAGUUCCAGAUAAGAAAAACAUGCUCUCUCUUCUCUAAUGAUUGGACAGACUCCUACUCCAAAACAGAAGAUCUCAACUCUGGAAGAGAACAGAUGCCUUCCACUGUGUGAGCGUAAAUUCAGAGCCUUCCAACUUGACAUUCUCAUCGACAAAUUAUUUAAACAUGACGGCUCUUUUAUAAAGAGUGUUAUCUUAAAAGGAAAGGAAUCAAAGGGCUGAACAUGUUGAAGGGAGGAGAAACAAGACCCCCAGGACUUGUCAAUGGCACACAUGAAAGACAGAAAACACCAGAAGCCAGUCUUCAGCCUGCUGGCCCAGCCAUGGCCACUGUAACGUACGGCUAAACCCCUGCCCCGAUCAGCUCUCAAGGCUCUGAGCCAACUGCCUAGACCGUCUAUUUGAGAUCCCUGAGAGUUUCAACACAGGGCAUGGCUGACCUCUCCACCGUGUCAUUUCCAGUAAUGCGGCCUCACUGAUAGCAGAAGUUCGGAGAGCUCUUGUCAGAGAGGCCAGCUGGCACCAUGUGAGUCUUACCCAGAGGGAAACCUGACAAUCUUCCAGCAUGCUCACCAGACUGGGGCACUGACUUUUGUCACUUGAUUCUCAACUCACAGUCUCAAGAUGCUGGUGCUAAUGUACAUUGCAGCUGACACUGGAGUUUAUUUUUAUAACUGCUCUUGCCUCAGAAAAAGCUCCAUCCCAGUACGACUUCCAGGACAGGGAUGGUCUGGAUGCUGCAGUUAGGACAAUGAUCAUCUCGUUCUCUUAGUGGUUAGGAAUCCUGUGGGCUUAUGGAAUAAGCUCGCUGAAACAGACAGUGACAUCCACGGUGACACUGACCGAAUUGUGCUCCAGUGGCCUAGAGAGUGCCUAUUAUUUAUCUCAUUUCUGUUCUGCAUAAUAACACCAACCAAACCGCUAAUGAAUGAAUAUUAUUACAUGCUUUGGUAGGAACGCAAAGGCAAAUUGGGCUCACUGUAGAGAAUAUCUUGCUCCUCAUUUUGUAUUAAAAUGCCUAGACGCCCCUCAAGAGACCAUGUCAAGGAUGAAAUUUAUCCACUGCCUGCAUUUGCUAAUUUGAAAGAGUUCUGAUUUCAUCUGCCGGGCUUAAUAUAGAAAUUCUUUUAACCUGAACAGAUACACAGAAAUGUGGAAUUUAUUCAAUGCCAUUUUCUUGAUUUAUGUCAGGAAAUAUAUAUGGCUAUGCUGUCAUCUUUUUAUAUAUAGACAUCAAUAUAUAUAAAUAUAUAGAGUCAAGUCAGAAAUUCUGAAACCACAUUGCACUUAGCCCUUACAGCAUAAUGCUUUCCAUAUUCUUCACAGUUUGUUUCCCUGAUCCUUUAGAGAGAGCUACUGUGUUUAAAGUGUAAACCAUUUUUACAGAAAAAAUGUAUUACAAUUCUAUAUGAUAAUUCUCAAAGUUCAGGAAAAUAAUCUGAAAUAAACAUUCUAAAUUGAGGAAUGAAUAAUAAAGACUCAUCAAUUGGGCUGGGAGCAGUGGCUCACGCCUGUAAUCUCAGUACUUUGGGAGACCGAGGCAGGCGGAUCACCUGAGGUCAGCCUGGC